rnacentral:lncRNA from 1 species
UUGAUAUAUGGUUAUGUAUUAAUAAUGUUAUACCAAAUAUUGUGUUGCGCUCUCAUUGUGAUUUUUCUAUUUUUCAAAUAUUCUAUCAAUUCAAUUAAUAGCAUACAUCAAUCUUACACUAAAUAAAAAAGAAAUAAUUUACCAUAUAUAUAAUCAUAUAUUUCCUUUAUUCAUUAAAGUGUGUAGGUUUAGCUUAAUUUCUAAAAAUACACACAUUCGCAAAUGUUCUUCUUACACUUUGGAAACUCAGGAAAUUGACACAUAGAUUCGGGACAAUCUGCAUCAGAAUGGCAUGUAAUUAUUCCUAAGAUGUCAAAUAAGAAAAAUUAUAUGUUAAUAAUAAAUAUAAAAAAUACUAGGUAUGAAAUAAAGAAAAUAUGAGAAAAAGUUGACAAAGUGGACUUACCACCAAUUACAGUGUUGAAUAAGAAAAUAAAAACAAUCAUAAUAACACAAAGAAAUCUGUUAAAUCCAGACAUAUUUUUUCUCGUUUUCAUGUAGAAACAGAAAG